rnacentral:rRNA from 1 species
GAUGAACGCUAGCUACAGGCUUAACACAUGCAAGUCGAGGGGCAGCAUAGGGUUUGCUUGCAGACUCUGAUGGCGACCGGCGCACGGGUGAGUAACGCGUAUCCAACCUGCCCAUUACUCAGGUAUAGCCCAGUGAAAACUGGAUUAAUCCCUGAUGCGGUCUCGUGCAGACAUCUAAGCGAGACCAAAGUUUUCAACGGUAAUGGAUGGGGAUGCGUCUGAUUAGCUUGUUGGCGGGGUAACGGCCCACCAAGGCGACGAUCAGUAGGGGUUCUGAGAGGAAGGUCCCCCACAUUGGAACUGAGACACGGUCCAAACUCC